CGCGGGGUGGAGCAGUCUGGUAGCUCGUCGGGCUCAUAACCCGAAGGUCAGGGGUUCAAAUCCCCUCCCCGCCACCA
rnacentral:tRNA from 1 species